rnacentral:rRNA from 1 species
GAUGAACGCUGGCGGCGUGCCUAAUACAUGCAAGUCGAGCGAACAGACGAGGAGCUUGCUCCUCUGACGUUAGCGGCGGACGGGUGAGUAACACGUGGAUAACCUACCUAUAAGACUAGGAUAACUUCGGGAAACCGGAGCUAAUACCGGAUAAUAUAUUGAACCGCAUGGUUCAAUAGUGAAAGACGGUUUUGCUGUCACUUAUAGAUAGAUCCGCGCCGCAUUAGCUAGUUGGUAAGGUAACGGCUUACCAAGGCAACGAUGCGUAGCCGACCUGAGAGGGUGAUCGGCCACACUGGAACUGAGACACGGUCCAGACUCCUACGGGAGGCAGCAGUAGGGAAUCUUCCGCAAUGGGCGAAAGCCUGACGGAGCAACGCCGCGUGAGUGAUGAAGGUCUUCGGAUCGUAAAACUCUGUUAUUAGGGAAGAACAAAUGUGUAAGUAACUAUGCACGUCUUGACGGUACCUAAUCAGAAAGCCACGGCUAACUACGUG